rnacentral:pre_miRNA from 1 species
AGCUAGACAAGUACUGGCCUCAGCAGACUGAAGAGGACACGAUAAUGGUUGCCAUGCAGUCUGCUGAGGUUGGAGCUGCUGAGAUGA